GGCGGGUUCGUAUAACGGUUAGUACACAAGAUUUUCAUUCUUGGAACAGGAGUUCGAUUCUCCUACCCGCUA
rnacentral:tRNA from 1 species